rnacentral:rRNA from 1 species
GACGAACGUUGGCGGCGUGCUUAAUACAUGCAAGUCAACUGAAGCAGUGGUAGCAAUAUCGCUGUGGAGGUGGCGCACGGGUGAGUAACACGUAGGUAAUCUGCCUUCAGGUCUGGCAUAACUCCGGGAAACCGGGGCUAAUAGCAGAUGAUGCAGCGGCUCGACAUCGAGACAGUUGUUAAAGCUAUGGCGCCUGAAGAUGAGCCUGCGUCUGAUUAGCUAGUUGGCGGGGUAACGGCCCACCAAGGCAACGAUCAGUAGCUGGUCUGAGAGGAUGAUCAGCCACACUGGAACUGAGACACGGUCCAGACUCCUACGGGAGGCAGCAGUAAGGAAUAUUGCUCAAUGGGAGAAAUCCUGAAGCAGCAACGCCGCGUGAGGGACGAAGGGCUUUUGCUUGUAAACCUCUGUAGUGAGAGAAAAAUAUCCCAAUCUUUGGGACAUGAUGGUAUCUCAAAAGUAAGCCCCGGCUAACUACGUG